UUGGAGGGCAAGUCUGGUGCCAGCAGCCGCGGUAAUUCCAGCUCCAAUAGCGUAUAUUAAAGUUGUUGCAGUUAAAAAGCUCGUAGUUGAACUUCGGGGUUUACCCAUUGGUCAGGCUUAAUUGUCUGUACUGGUGAGAUAAAUCUCUACUUUCUGAGGAACUUUCAUGCCAUUUAUUUGGUGUGAUGGGAAAUCAGGACUGUUACUUUGAAAAAAUUAGAGUGUUUAAAGCAGGCUAACGUCUGAAUACAUUAGCAUGGAAUAAUGAAAUAGGACGGACUGAUUCUAUUUCGUUGGUUUCUAGGAUCACCGUAAUGAUUAAUAGGGAUAGUUGGGGGCAUUAGUAUUCAAUUGUCAGAGGUGAAAUUCUUGGAUUUAUUGAAGACUAACUACUGCGAAAGCAUUUGCCAAGGAUGUUUUCAUUAAUCAAGAACGAAAGUUAGGGGAUCGAAGACGAUCAGAUACCGUCGUAGUCUUAACCAUAAACUAUGCCGACUAGGGAUCGGACGAAGUUAAUUUUAUAAUGACGCGUUCGGCGCCUUACGGGAAAC
rnacentral:rRNA from 1 species